rnacentral:lncRNA from 1 species
AGAUUUGGUACAUCCCCAGAAGUUGUCUUUGGUUCAGAGAACAGUCUUCAGACCUAGAAAGGACUUGAGGAGUCCCAGAGAGGAGCCACAUGGUGUGAACCAUUCGAUUCUCACAACAGAAUGGAUAAGAACAAUUUCAACCAUGAAACCGUGCAGAUGUUCAUAUUUUGAAUAGGGGCUGAAGCAGUGCCUACUCGAUAGAAUCAGUCAUCAUGCAAAUAAAAGCCACCUGAGUCAAAG